AGCAUGGAAGUCUGACGUGCUCUCAGUUCACUGAAAGCGACUGGACGCACGCGAGAAACGAUCCUCCGCCCCGUUCGGUCGCUCGUCUCGCGGGUAGUCGAUCGGGAUCGAGAUUCGCGGUGAAGUAGCCCAAUAGUCUAAAGUCUAAUGGACACUAGUGUUCCCAUUGAUAUCAUUUAUUUUGUGAUGUGAUGUGGACCGUGCCCGAUUGACGAAAAGAGGAAUUCUUCAGUUAAUCAAUUGUACGUGAAGAAAUACCGGCCGAACAUGUUUCAAAACGCGUAUCGUGCUCGUGGAACCGGAUUCUUCGAACGGUGUGCAGAUGCUUCAAAAUUGUCGGAUGCUUGACGCGCCUUUAUCAGGAGCCACAAUGCUGGAUCCAGUUCUUGGAAUAUCGACCGUAUGGUGGUUGGUGGUGUACGCCAGUGUCCUGCUGCUGCUGUCGCCCCUGGUGCUGCUUUUCGUUGUGUUCCUACCGAAUUUUCCAAUACUGUUGCUCCGAAGGAUGUGUUACAUCCCGAUAGAAUCUAUAUGACGAACCUGCGAUACGAUAUUAGGAUUUUUUAAGUAUCGUACGUUAUUGAACUAAGCCUCAUUACGUCAAAGUUAGGACAUGUAUGAUAAUGUAGUAAUAAUGCUAUAGAAUCAUAUGUUAAUCUUCGAGAUGUAGUUAGAAACUGAAAGAAAACAAUAUCGAACUUGAAAUCACAAGAAGAAUUACCUUAGCCUUUAACGAUUUUACUGUAAUUGUAAGAGGCUUAAGUUUAUGACUCUGUUUCCAGACAGGUAUUCGAUAUUGUGGGUCGAAGACGGUCGUAAAACACUCUAAUACUUGUUUACAAUUAUGAUGUGCGAGACUUGAAUGACUGGUAAUUCCAAGACGUACUUGUUGUAUUACUUGCGUUUACAAUAACUGCGUUAUAUUUUGUGUACAACAUUGAAAAUAAUGAAAACUGUUCGUAAAGUUAAUAUUUAUGACGUGGUUGUACUAUAAUUAAUCGCAAUUUGUGUAUUUAACGUCGAUGGACGCUCUUUAUUAUUGUUAGCUUUCGUUUUCGUAUAUAUUCUAAUUUUACAUAUACAUAUGUAAUCAUAGUAUCAGUAUGUAUUUUCGAAUUAUUGUACAUGAUUAGAAAUCAAUUGCAGAAAGGAGAUACUACUAACUCUAUGCACUUGUGAAUAAAUUAUAGUAAUUCGAGACUGUGCGGAAUAAUUCUAAACACGCGAUUCCAUCUUUCAAUUAGUUCACGAUUCUUUCGUUGCCAAGAUAAUGUCAGACACGAAUGUAACUGAAGCGUAUGUAAAACUGAUAUAUAUAUGUGUUUGUAUGUAGUAACACCAACGCGAGCACGUUUUACAAAACGGCGAGAAUUUCGAGAGAUUCGUCCUCGACGAAUCCGAAGUCAACUGUAGCGACGACGACUGUUGCGUCAGUGAGCUAGUUUACCCAGGUUCGUGUCGUGUGCCUGUUGAGCAAUUUUUGUACAUUAACUACAGACAUACGACCUGGAUUCUCUCUCAUGAAUUUUCUUAAACGGUAUCGAUUUUUUCGUGCAUUAAUUACGUAACAUCGUGCGUCAAUGAACGUUCACCAUUGAUCUUGUUAGUGACCCGAUUUUUUCCAAACCGAUUGAGAAUGAAUAGAUUUUUCAUUCGUUGGUUUGAAAUUAGAUGAUUAGCAUGUGUCAAUUCGACGGCGCGCCAAUUCGAGCCUUGCGUUACACACGAACGUGCCUCCAAAUUGAUAUUUCGUUUUAAACAAGCACGCGGUGAUUUACGCGUAUAGCGAUCGAGGUCGUUCAUAUUUUUUCCUUUUCUCAUUCUGCAACACCUUUCAAUUGACGUUUAGUUUGCGAUAUUUCGUGACGUUAUUUCCAACUAUCACGUGUCUGUUGAAAAAAAAAUGUUAUACAUAAUUUGUAGCUUUACCAACGUUGUAAAUCAGGCUGGAGACAUUAAUGGACCCCCAUUAUAAUGGAUCUUCCAUUCGAUGUUUUAUUACCCUUCUACUAAUUAUUCCUUUGUCGUUCGCUGUUGUAGAAUCGUUUUCGUAGUACAAAGAAAGGACAUUAUCUGCAGUGCUUUUAUUAUCAUUAAUUUUAAUACACUGUAUUCCGUUUCACGAGCCUCGUUUAGGAUGCAUAUGCAUACUUAAAACUUUUGUAAAUUAGCAUGAGAACAUUCAUUUAUUUCGUCUCAUGAUACCUGUUGAAAACGCACCUCUUGUUUAGAGUAAUAAACACAAUAAUCGUAACGUUA